rnacentral:rRNA from 1 species
UGAGUAACACGUGGACAAUCUCGCCCCCCGGCCCGGGAUAGCCCAGGGAAACCUGGAUUAAUACCGGAUGAGACGGGACCCGCGAUGGCGGGAUCCGGGAAAGGCGCUGCGGCGCCGCCGGGGAUGAGUCUGCGUCCCAUUAGCUAGACGGCGGGGUAACGGCCCACCGUGGCGACGAUGGGUAGCCGGCCUGAGAGGGUGGACGGCCACAUUGGAACUGAGACACGGUCCAGACUCCUACGGGAGGCAGCAGCUAAGAAUCUUCCGCAAUGGGCGAAAGCCUGACGGAGCGACGCCGCGUGAACGAAGAAGGCCGUGAGGUUGUAAAGUUCUUUCGGGAGGGGGAACAACCGUGGCAGGGAAUGGCCGCGGGAUGACGUGAAUCCCGGAAUAAGCCCCGGCUAACUACGUGCCAGCAGCAGC